AUCACGCCGAAAAGAGAAAACUGAAGCAAACUAAAACCCUAAUAAAACUCGCCUCCGCCUCUCUUCGUUCUUUUCUUCCAGAGCAAACUCUGCCUCUCCACCUCUUACACAUCUCGGUUCAAGUUUUACGGUGCCAUUUUAUUCAAGAGAUCAACCUAGAUAAAUGAUGGUCGUUAUAACCAUUGUUUUGUGCAUCGAAACAAUUUCACGAGAACCCGAAGCUAUGGUGAUUUUAAAGAGAGUAUCGAGAAGAGGUUAUAGAUCAAGCUCUCCAUUAUCUUUGUCUAAAUUUCUUGCAGAUGAAAACAUUUCGUGUACAUUGAUGUUUUCUUGCUUUUGGUUGAAGCUAGAGGUUCUGUUGUAUACAUUAGUGUUAGAUGAUGGUGGUGGAUACAGUUUUGGUUUUAAGGGUCUGCUUUUCAAUGGGAAAAGGGAUGUACUGAGCAGUUUAUAUACCUGAUGAUAAAGCUGUUCUUUUAGAUCCAAUGAAAAAGGUUUACCCUGACGAUAUGGUUCUGAUCGUGUCAUGGUUCCCAUGGAUGAUAAAGACCUGGACAUCAUACCAAUUACAGUUCUGACAUGAAACCUGACAUGAACUAUAUGAAUAACAUUUACGUGCAAUCUCUCUGUUGCACGCAAAUGUUUAGUUAAAUUCCUGAAUGAUAAGUUACUUUUUUUGGGCUAAUCAUUAAACCUUUUAUUUCAUCGCACGAUGGAAUAAUUGAGUUUAAUGAGUUCUUUCAUUUGGUUGUUAUACAAUAAUUCAUAAUAUUAAUCUUUCUUUUUGUUGGGUUGGUGGAAAUUGUUGCAUAUCAUUUAAAACUCAGGUUCCUACCACUUUUCUGAAGAGAAUGCAGCAUAAUAUGUAUUCCUAAAAGAGGCAAACAUGCUAAAGAGAAGGUUGUUGAUCAGGAAGUUGAACUGUAGCAACAGAAGGUUCUUGGGCAGGAAAUUGGAGCAUCAACAUUAUGAACAUCUUGAACUUAACAAUAACUAUCCAACAUUUACUAAUUUGAUGGCCAUGAGUGUAAGUACAAAUAUUUUCACAUGUAGAUUUUUCUGUUUUUUUGCACUGUUUUGGUGGUGUUUUUGGAUAAACAUAGAUCUCCUAAGUGUAUAUGAACUAACGUUUUUCAAGCAUAAGAACUGUUUGUUUGAUCAGGUUGAUUUUUCUCGGCAGUUUGUUGCAACUUUGUAAUUAAGUUCUAAGAACAAGGGGAUUUCUAGAAUCCUCUUAACUCUAAGAGUUUAAAUUUUAGUCAGUGCAUGUGCCUAUUAUA